rnacentral:rRNA from 1 species
GACGAACGCUGGCGGCGUGCUUAACACAUGCAAGUCGAACGGAAAGGCCCUGCUUUUGUGGGGUGCUCGAGUGGCGAACGGGUGAGUAACACGUGAGUAACCUGCCCUUGACUUUGGGAUAACUUCAGGAAACUGGGGCUAAUACCGGAUAGGAGCUCCUGCUGCAUGGUGGGGGUUGGAAAGUUUCGGCGGUUGGGGAUGGACUCGCGGCUUAUCAGCUUGUUGGUGGGGUAGUGGCUUACCAAGGCUUUGACGGGUAGCCGGCCUGGGCGGGUGACCGGCCACAUUGGGACUGGGAUACGGCCCAGACUCCUACGGGAGGCAGCAGUGGGGAAUAUUGCACAAUGGGCGGAAGCCUGAUGCAGCAACGCCGCGUGCGGGAUGACGGCCUUCGGGUUGUAAACCGCUUUCGCCUGUGACGAAGCGUGAGUGACGGUAAUGGGUAAAGAAGCACCGGCUAACUACGUG